rnacentral:rRNA from 1 species
CAGUCGCCGCGGGAAUACAGAGGAUGCAAGCGUUAUCCGGAAUGAUUGGGCGUAAAGCGACUGUAGGUGGCUUUUCAAGUCCGCCGUCAAAUCCCAGGGCUCAACCCUGGACAGGUGGUGGAAACUACCAAGCUGGAGUACGGUAGGGGCAGAGGGAAUUUCCAGUGGAGUGGUGAAAUGCGUUGAGAUCGGAAAGAACACCAACAGCGAAAGCACUCUGCUGGGCCGACACUGACACUGAGAGACGAAAGCUAGGGGAGCAAAUGGGAUUAGAUACCCCUGUAGUCCCUGUCUCUUAUAC